rnacentral:rRNA from 1 species
AUUGAACGCUGGCGGCAUGCCUUACACAUGCAAGUCGAACGGCAGCGCGGGAGCAAUCCUGGCGGCGAGUGGCGAACGGGUGAGUAAUACAUCGGAACGUGCCCAAUCGUGGGGGAUAACGCAGCGAAAGCUGUGCUAAUACCGCAUACGAUCUACGGAUGAAAGCAGGGGAUCGCAAGACCUUGCGCGAAUGGAGCGGCCGAUGGCAGAUUAGGUAGUUGGUGAGGUAAAGGCUCACCAAGCCUUCGAUCUGUAGCUGGUCUGAGAGGACGACCAGCCACACUGGGACUGAGACACGGCCCAGACUCCUACGGGAGGCAGCAGUGGGGAAUUUUGGACAAUGGGCGAAAGCCUGAUCCAGCCAUGCCGCGUGCAGGAUGAAGGCCUUCGGGUUGUAAACUGCUUUUGUACGGAACGAAACGGCCUUUUCUAAUAAAGAGGGCUAA